AUCCCCUUUUAUUGGUUGUUGGCAUCCAGGUGAACCAAUGGCACAAGAGUAAGAUUUAAUCACCAAAAAAAUAAAACAGAGAGUUCCAGUUUCACAAAGUAAAAAAAAUAAAAAAAGUUGAUUUUUUAUUUUUAUUUAUAUAGUUACAUUUAGUAAAUUACCCAGAAACACUUGAGUCAUACACAGGCAUUACCAAGAACUACAGUGAGGUACUCUAACCUCUCACCUGUGUGAACCAACAGUCAACACACACACACACAUAUCCAUCCACUAACACCACAUCAUUGACCUCUUGGACUAGAUCACAGUGGAUCACAUUUACAUGAUAAUGGAGGAGAUGAAGCACCAGAUUCCAGUUGUGGAGGAGGAGUGAAACCAGGAAGUGAGAUGGUUUUUAUAUCAAUGACCAACAGAUCGUUCUCCAUGAUAAUGGCUGUGCCUUUAGAGAGGGAAAUUAAAAGAAAUUCUUCCAGUCAGAGAGGUUUUAACGUCCGAACGGGAUCGGCGAUCCCGUCAGAGAGGUUAACGCCCGACCGGGAUCGGCGAUCCCGUCAGAGAGGUUAACGUCCGACCGGGAUCGGGGAUCCAGUCAGAGAGGUUAACGUCCCACCAGAUCAGAGCUCUGGACAGCUGUAAGGACACACACUUCCUUCAUGAAAACAACAUUUAACAGGUUAUUUCCUGUCUGGGAGAUCAAAAUCUCCAUCAAUGAGCUCACAGCUAGAGGAAGACAUAAUUUCCUCUAGGUUACACAUUGGAACAUUUUACAUUUCCUGUGAUUCAAUAUUAUGAGAUGAGGGAGUAAAACCCCAUUCCAGAAUCCACUUCCAGUUUUUCCACGGCGCUCAGAGUCCAGCGGGUCUCUACUUCCAGACAGAACCGAUUCUGUAUCAUCACUGCUUUUAUUUCUUCUUCUAAAAGGGUCAUUUCAAAAUAAGCCGACAUAUGCAGCGUUUACCGUAAACAUUGCAUUGUGGGAUUGAAUCCUGGCCAACAAAAUCAGGUCAUGGAUGAUAAAUACAGACAGGUGGAGGGAGACACCUGGAUACAAAGACCAAAAUAAACACACAGAGACGGAUAGAGAGAGAGAGAGAGAGAGACGGAUAGAGAGAGAGAGACGGAUAGAGACAGAUAGAGAGAGAGAGACGGAUAGAGAGAGAGAGAGAGACGGAUAGAGAGAGAGAGAGAGAGACGGAUAGAGAGAGAGAGAGAGAGAUGAGAGAGAGACGGAUAGAGAGACGAUGAGAGAGAGACGGAUAGAGAGACGAUAGAGAGAGACGGAUAGAGAGACGAGAGAGAGAGACGGAUAGAGAGAAAGAGAGAGAGACGGAUAGAGAGAGAGAGAGAGAGACGGAUAG
rnacentral:lncRNA from 1 species